AAUCAAUAAAUAAAAUCUUAAAAAAAAAGAAAAAACACAAGUUUAAAAAUAAUAAUAAUAAUAAUGCAUGCAGUUUGUUUUUAUAUUUAUAUUUUUGUUCCCCCUAGAAUUUAUUUUGGUGACUAGACUGAGAUCAGGCUCCAGAUGCCUAACUAGUUGUCUGAGCAUCAUUCAUGGAAUAAACCAUCUACUCCCCUCUGACUUGAAAUGCCACCUUUAAUGUAAUUAUUCCUUAGUUUAUCUGGAUCUGGGGGAUCCCUGGGUGGUUCAGUGGUUUAGCGCAGCCUUCAGCCCAGGGCCUGAUCCUGGAGUCCCGGGAUCGAAUCCCACGUCAGGUUCCCUGCAUGGAGCCUGCUUCUCCCUCUGCCUGUGUCUCUGCCUCUCUUUCUCUCUAUGUCUCAUGAAUAAAUAAGUAAAAAUCUUUAAAACAAAAUUUAUUUGGAUCUGUUUCUGGAUCCUCUAACCCAUUGUUCUUGGGAGAGAGGUGCUUAUUUUAGGUUGUCUCUUUAAAAUCCAAUCCUGGCUUGGUCCUGUGUGAAUUCUUUAGUUAGAAUUUCAUAAACACUAGGAAAUUGUAGAUCAUAAUAACAGACGAUUUCAAGCUUCUAAUAAAACUGUAUUCAAGUUUAGUCUUUCUUUAGAUUGGUUGCCUUCAGGCACCAGUGAUGAUGGUGAUGAUGGUCUUUCAUUAGACCAGAUUCAACCUUUUCAAAGUUGGAAAGCCUCAUAAAGGUCCCAUUCACAAAACAUGCCUCAAGAUAUUCUCAUCUUUGGCUUCAGUUCUCUGAUGCCUGAAAUUAGACCUCAGGAAAUCUUGUUUUUGGAUUAUGAUCAUCUGCAUUGAAUUACAAGUGUACUUUGUUACCUAUAGGUAGUGUAUAAAUUGUACCUCAUCGAGGGCAACCACCUGCAUGAACUUAGGAGUCACACUGCCUGGUUUAAAUUCUAGCUCUGCUGAAAUGUGUGACCUUGGACAAGUGACUUAAUGUCUCUCGUCUCAAUUCCCUUAGGGUGUGAAAUGGGGAUAGUCUUAGUUGUCUGUGAGCCUUAAACAUUUGUGACAUGCCCCAGAGGAUACCGAGGCAUAGUGAGUGCUCAGUACUUUUGGCAUCACUCAAGACCACCCAGUAAAAAGGGGUACUUACUCAGGUUAUCUUAAACAGAAAAGGGGGAAUUUAUUAUAAAGAUAUAGGAGAUUUAUAACAGAUCCCAAAAGUAAGUAUAGUUUGGGCCUUACAGGUUCCUACAAUGUGGAAGGUAGAAUGUGGUCAGAAAUAGAGAUUUUUUUUUUUCCAUCUGUUUUUCACUGGAGUGUUUUAUUCUCUGCAAGCCAGCCAGCAUGAUUUGUUUCCUAGCUGGCAACCAUCACCCUUGGAUAUCUAAGUUGGGCUUGUACCUUUUUUUGCAAACUAGUCAGUCUUACUAAUGUCAUAGAGAAUGAGAAGGAGGAAAAGAAUAUUGGUCAGUUUGAGUGGAGAAAGACCAUAGAAGAUAAAGGUUUCCUGCUUUUGCUUUGAACCAGUGGAUCUUUAAAAAAAAAAAAAAAAAAGUAAUAACUUUCCAACAACCAGUUACCAGUUUUUGUGUAUUUUUUCAAAGGUUGUAUGCCUAUACAAGAAAUAGAAAUAAUAAAUAGAAACAUAUAUUUUAUUCAUCCCUGUUACCUUUUACACAAAUUAUAACAUACCAUGCUACUUACAUUAAGAUUAAGAGAUAUAUUUUGGGAGCACCUGACUGGCUUGGUCAGAGCAUGUGACUCUGAAUUUCAGGGCUGUAAGUUUGAGCUCCACAUUGUGUGUAGAGAUUACUUAAAAUCUUAAAAAAUAUAUAUAUAUAUAUAUAUAUACACACACACACACAUAUAUAUAUUGAAUAGCAUUACAUAUUAGUGAGUAAAGAGCCUUCUUAUAGCUGGGUAGUAUUAUGCAGAUGAUAUGUUAGACUUUUUUGUUUUGUUUUGUUUUUUAGUGUGUUACACUUUAAUCAGUAUCCUGUUGUUGAACAUUUAGUUGUUGAAACCAUGCAGAGAUGAAUAACUUUGUACAUGUGUUGUUUUGCAUCUUUGUGAGCAUACUUGUGGGAUAAAUUUGUAGAAAUGAAAUUAUACAAAGGGUAUUACAUUUUUAAGUUACCUCUACACCCAACAUGGGGGUUGAACUUACAACCCUGAAGUCUAGAGUUGUGCACUCCAUCCUCUGAGCCAGCCAGGCACCCAAAGGAUGCUGCAUUUUUUUUUUUUUUUUAGAUUUUAUUUAUUUAUUCAUGAGAGACACAGGGAGAGAGAGAGAGGCAGAGACACAGGCAGAGGGAGAAGCAGGCUCCACACAGGGAGCCUGAAGUGGGAUUCAAUCCCCAGGAUCAUGCACUGGGCUGAAGGUGGUGCUAAACCGCUGAGCCACGCGGGCUGCCCAGGUGCUGCAUUUUCAUAGACAUUUCCCAGUUGUCGUCCAAAGAGGUUACAACCCCUCCAGCCACGUGUCAAAUUCUCUGGCAAGUUUCGGAGUCUUGAUAGAGUCAAUUAGAUCUCUAAGUUGUUUGCUUUCAGCCCAUACUCCUUCCCAGAUAUUAAAGGGUUCUAGAACAACUUCUCCCUCAAAAUUUGCAUUGUUAAAAAAAACACAUUAUUUGGUGCUUUCUAAUUUGUAACAGCCAAAAGUCAGCAACAUGUACUUCUGACCAAGUUACUAGCCCAACUCUGAACAAUCCCUGUUCCGUGGCUUCUGUAUAUUCCCUUAGAGUUCUACACACAGUACAGUUCUGUACCCAGCAAGCAGGAAAGAGAUGGAUGGCUGCAAGUACAGAAACUACUUCAAAACUUCUCUAUAGAUUACGAAUUUCCUUUUUUUUUUAUUGUGAAUUUCUGAUUCUAUUUUCUUCCCCUCUAUUGGGAACUGCUAUUAUAUCUCCCACACACACAGCUUAAAAGAAGAAUAUUCUAGGGAUCCCUGCGUGGUGCAGCGGUUUGGCGCCUGCCUUUGGCCCAGGGCGCGGUCCUGGAGACCCGGGAUCGAAUCCCACGUCGGGCUCCCGGUGCAUGGAGCCUGCUUCUCCCUCUGCCUGUGUCUCUGCCUCUCUCUCUCACUGUGUGCCUAUCAUAAAUAAAUAAAAGUUUAAAAAAAAAAUUUUUUAAAAAAAGAAGAAUAUUCUAGAUCAGAACCCUUCCUGCAGAACCUAGAAUGAGUUGUAUACAACCAAAAUGACUAGAGAGACUUCAGUAUCUCACUAGUGGUGAUAAUUAAAUUUAUAUUUAUUUGCAUAACUAAGAAUAAGCGAGGGCUGUCAUGGAAACUGUAACAUGAUACCUGGGUGCUUGGACAACAUGGAGGGUGGCCAUAAAGUCUGAAAAACGAUACUAUUAUUUUAUCGUGUAUUGAAAUAGAAUCUCCAGAAACCAUUAAUAAUGUAUUCUUUUAUGUUCCCAGGUUUCUUGGCAACCCUGAAAUCUAGUACAGCGGUGAGGAGAGUUCAGGGAGAGUAUGAUGCUCUCCCUUGGAAUCCAGCCGCCCUGAUGUGAGGAAGCAGACCUAUGGAGAGGCCACGUGGAUCCCAGCCCACAGCCAGAAUAACCUCCGAGCCCGUGAAUGACUGCAGAAGGCGUUGUCUGGUCCCAGCGCCUUUCCUUGGAAGGUGAUGGUUCAGUCUCUUCAGAAUCCAUUCUUCUCUUCCUCCUCCUUCAAACUCCCAGUGUGGCUGGAUUCCCUGGAUGGCUGGGUGUUCUCCCUUUUCUCAACUUUUUUUUUUUUUUUUUAAGAUUUUAAUUUAUUCAUGAGAAACAGAGAAGGCGGAGACACAGGCAGAGGGAGAAGCAGGCUCCCUGCAGGGCCGUGAUGAUCCAAUUUAAAAAG